AACGAACGCUGGCGGCGUGCCUAACACAUGCAAGUCGUGCGAGAAAGUUCCUUCGGGAGCGAGUAAAGCGGCGCACGGGUGAGUAACACGUAGGUAACCUGCCCCCCAGUCUGGAACAACUAGAGGAAACUCUAGCUAAUGCCGGAUGAGACCACGAUCCCUUCGGGGGUUGCGGCCAAAGAUGGCCUCUACUUGUAAGCUAUCGCUGAGGGAUGGGCCUGCGGGCCAUUAGCUUGUUGGUGAGGUAACGGCUCACCAAGGCUGUGAUGGCUAGCUGGUCUGAGAGGAUGACCAGCCACACUGGGACUGAGACACGGCCCAGACUCCUACGGGAGGCAGCAGUGGGGAAUAUUGCGCAAUGGCGAAAGCCUGACGCAGCGACGCCGCGUGGGUGAUGAAGGCCUUC
rnacentral:rRNA from 1 species